AUUUCUACUUUAACCAUAGUUCUGACCUUUGAGUAAAUUUUGGUAAGUUCUAUUUGUUGGGGUAGUUUUA
rnacentral:pre_miRNA from 1 species